rnacentral:tRNA from 1 species
AGGGGUGUAGCUCAGUGGUAAAAUGUGUACUUAGCAUGCACAAGACCCUGGGUUCAAUCCCAGCACCGAAA